CAUCCAGAGAACUUAGCAGAGAUUGCUUUUGGUGCCUUCGGGAACUCUGAGACAGGUGCUGCAUGGCUGUCGUCAGCUCGUGUUGUGAAAUGUUGGGUUAAGUCCCGNAACGAGCGCAACCCUUUAUCCUUUGUUGCCAGCGGUUCGGCCGGGAACUCAAAGGAGACUGCCGGUGAUAAACCGGAGGAAGGUGGGGAUGACGUCAAGUCAUCAUGGCCCUUACGGCCAGGGCUACACACGUGCUACAAUGGCGCAUACAAAGAGAAGCGACCUCGCGAGAGCAAGCGGACCUCAUAAAGUGCGUCGUAGUCCGGAUUGGAGUCUGCAACUCGACUCCAUGAAGUCGGAAUCGCUAGUAAUCGUAGAUCAGAAUGCUACGGUGAAUACGUUCCCGGGCCUUGUACACACCGCCCGUCACACCAUGGGAGUGGGUUGCAAAAGAAGUAGGUAGCUUAACCUUCGGGAGGGCGCUUACCACUUUGUGAUUCAUGACUGGGGUGAAGUCGUAACAAGGUAGGCGUAGCGAG
rnacentral:rRNA from 1 species